UCAAAAGUGACAACAUGGAAGAUGAAAAUGCACAUUUUAAAUCGAAUCUGUUAAUUCGAUAUUUUAAAAACGAAUUCUAAUGGUAUUAUGUUACCUAAUGAAUGUGCCCUUCACUAUAUAGGAUAUUUAGUUUUGCUAUCUGCCUGCAUGAUGUCCACGGUUAAUUCUAGGGUCAUUCCCAGCCUAGAAGACACAGAACUUAAUACCUUAUUCAGUGUACAUAAAACUACGACAGAACUACAUCAGGAAAAAAUAGGAAAGAAUAACAUGUUUCUUAAUGGUUUAGGAAUGAAUGUUUCACCACGGUUACAAGAAUCGAAGCUGCAAAAAGAAGAAUCUGUUACAUCGAAAAUACCAGUUAAAAUUUUAACAUUGUGGUGGAAAAUGUUUUCUAGGAUUUUCAAUUCUGAAAAUGCUGUUCAAAUAUUGAACAGAAGGAUAAGAGAAAGUGAUAUUUCUGUGUCACAAUUAUCAAGUGAAAACCAUAACAUAUUUAAGGAUAGUCAUCUUGAAGUGCUGACUAGUAAUUCAAAUGACAUAACCGUUGAGAAAACUAACUUCAAGUCUUCCCAAACAAGAGACCGUCGUGAUACUUUCGCUAAUCCAAGUAAGAAAAAUAUUUCUGAACAUCAUUUGAAAUCUGAUUUUGGGAAUAAAAGUUCCACUGCCGUGAAUACGACUUUCUUCAGGGAUUUGAUUCGUAAGGUGACUCUUGAAGCAGAAGUGUGAGUGUGUUUUCAGUCCCACUGUCAUACAGGUAGCAGGAUGUAGUCAUUGCCUGAGGAAGCAUAGUGCUCAGAUUGCAUUUCUUUGCCUUACUGGGUUAUGUUGUUUGAUGACCUGGACUGUGUGGUACAAUGGAAUGUGCAGGAAUCGUACAUUAAAAUACAUGUACUGGGACCGACAGAAGACGGUCACUACCGAUAUAAGAGACAUCUUGUAUCGACGAGGAAAAUACCUACCCAUGUUUCAAGAUGAACAGUACGAUGUGGUGUAUGUAAAAGAUAAAGGAACAGAUCCAUAAACAGACAUGAUAUUUAAAAAGGAUUCACUUCCAUGACUCACAACAGUGGCUUUCAAAUUUAUUUUACUAUCAGCAUUUUUGUAAUUUCUCUGUGUUAUUGCAAAUGCAUCAGUGUUAUAUUAUUACUAGAUGCCUUUGACAAGAUAUUUAAAUCUUACAACAGUGUUUCUGGUACCAGCAUCUCACCACAUUUCACUGACAAUAUAUUUAAAUCGAGGUAUUUGUAUCUCCUUACUACACAAAUGUACUAUAUUACCGUUACGGUAUGAAUGCCCAACAAUGUGUACUUGGAUACCCCUCGUUUCUUGUGAUAUCAUAAUUUAUCAGCACACGUUUAUAAAAGUAUGCCAAGGAUUUUUAUACUUUUAUCAACGAUUGCUGAUAAAAUAUAUCACAAGACACGAGGGGGGUAUUCUUUUUAUCAUCCAUGAUCAUUCUUUUCAUUUGCGACAAUUGUAAACAAUGUCAGUAAUGUGGGUUGAAUGUCACUAUAUAUUUGGCAGCGAUAGACUCGUUAACUAACAAAACGAUAGUGGCUUGACGUCACUAAUGAUGGGUUUAGUGCUGACGUAACAAAAAGAGCAAUAUCUCCUAGGAGAAUACUGCAGGAGAUAUCGCAAAUUAUAGUACCAGUGAUAUCUCCUACAAAAGCCUUUAAUGGAUGAUAAAAUUACUUAUUAAUCCUGAAAAACAUCUUCAUCCCCUAGUUCUGUAGUUGUAGGCAAAUAGUUUAAUGUAAGUAGCUGGUGAUAGGUGUAGAGAUUGGUGACAGGAUGUAAACAUCGCUGUAGACAUUAGAGUUGCAUGCCAUUAUCGGUAUACCAACAAAUGGUAAUAUAUAUACAUUUAUUAUCCAUAUGGUUCAACAUAACCGAGUUAAUAAUAAUCAUACGAAGCACACAUGUAAUAACAAGUGUAAUGACGUAAUUUUGGGAAGCGAUGUCAUAACAUGGCGUUGCUUCUUCAGUCCUAGCUCAGACUGAAUUUGAAAUAUGACGUCAUUUCGUCGUCUCCUAGUUGUGGCUGAAACAUUUUGAGUUGGGUCUGUUAUUCAUAAAGAAAACAACAAAAAUAUGGAUAAUAAAGAAAUUAUUACAUUCGCUUGUGAGUCGUAUUGAUUUUACGAAACUUGUGUCAGGAUUAGUGUAUAACCCUGGCUCUCGCUUGGGCAAUACAAAAAUCCUGACACUCAUUUGUUAAAAUCAGUACGACACAAGCUCGUUUAAUAAUCUCUAUGUAUUAUGAUACACCCUGUACCUUUACUGAAAAACUUGAUAAUUUCCGUAUUUCAUGUUUGUUGUUAUUCAGAAACUCUGAUCUUUGGGAAAUUAAAGUAUCAUGAAGUUCAACAUCUAAACAUCACAGUGCACUUCCUAAGGUGGUUUCUAAAUUAAUCUUUUUCAAUUAGCAACAAUAUUUAUCAAUUUAUUCAAUUUUUAUGUAUGUAAAGUUUCUUUUGGACACCAGUAUAGUUCAUGGUUUCAAAUUAUAAGCUUUUAUUCCUGAUGGUGCUGUAAAUAAUAUAUGUAUCAUGAUACAGGAAUUCCAUAUUGCUAUACAAAAAUUAUUAUAAUACCCAUCCCAAGUAGACAUGACAGCAGGCACUAAUCUAGGUUUGAACAAGAAUAACCCAUUUGUCAUUUUCAGUCAGAUUUGUUAAGUUAAUAUUGAUCAAUAUAUCAGAGGUAUAAAUAUUCCAAAUAUAUAGUGAACUGUAAUGAAAAUGCACCAGUCAGGUUUUUAGUUGUAGAAGGAAUGAGAACAAAAUUGGAACUGAUUUUGUGUAGGCAAAAAAUAACCCCAAAUUGUAUGUACAAGGGUUAAGAGUUGGUGUGUGUUUUAUAUCAACCUCACACAUGCUGUACUAGUGUAGCAAUAACAACUGAAAAUUGGGUGAUUCGUUUUCAGUUCAGUACAUUAAACUUUACAUUGUUUAUUUUAAAACAAAACCUCCACACAAACCUUAAACUAUAGCUAGUCAAUAUUGACACAUGGUCAGUUGUGUUGACACAUGAGGAAAACAAAACGAAUAAAUUUUUUGCCAUAAAGGCUAUUCCUAUGAAAUGCAUAGAAUUUAUCGGUAUUCUCCCAGAUAUGAAGAUGCAUACCUCAGCCAAUGAUAUACCAGUUCUAAGACACUAAUUGAAAUUUGGUGUGUGCGGGGGGGGGGGGGGGGGCAGAUAUUAAGUCCAAGGAAGAUUGAUCCUUUAUCCCAGAGCACCUCCGGCUUUGGAUAUGGCGCUCUGGAAUUGAAUGCAACCAGUCAACAGAGGGUAUAUGGAGGGAGAGUGUGUGUGCGUGUGUGCGUGUGUGAGGCCUCUCCCUGAAAGAAAAUGGGUUAAGUUUAGGGUUAGGGUUAAGAAAAUGAUAUAGUAACUUCAAAAAUAAAAUCUGCAAAUUCUUUUUGGUAUGACACCAUACCGGUUUUACCCUCUGACAAAAACUGGGCAAGGACUCCACAACUUUGUUAAAUUCCAUUCAGUGUUAGAAGUUAAAAACUAUGUGUGAAUGGACGGAGAUUUUCUGUGAUUGGGGCAUUAAAAUCUUGGAUAUAUAUUUACUGGUAUUCUAAGAAUAAUUCUAAUGUUCAUGUUAUCUUUAUAUUAAAAUGUUAUAAUGGUU